ACACACUCUCUAAUACUAUAACAGUGGUAGCACUCACCUAUAUUAAAGAGUGUGACAACAAGUGUGUCAAAAAUAGUUUUAUUGUUUAAUUAAAAAGUGAUGCUAUUUGAACACAAAACUGAAACACUUAUUAAAAUGCUCUCAAAUAAAAGUGAGAGACCCACAUAAAAUGGUAUAACUCAACUAUAUUAGAAAUUGUUAGUUUUGUGUGCAAAUAACUUUAUUGUUAAUUAAAUACUCAUAUUAUCUUUUUUUUUUUUAACAAACGAUUUUAUCCACACUAAGGAGAGGGGGUGGACUUAGCCUUACAGUGGGCUAUCAACAAUGUGGUUCAAACUCGCAUUUGGCAAGAAUCGAACUUAAGUUAAGACCUCUCACUUACAAGUGAAAAAAAUACCACUAGACCGUAGUACUAAGUGGCAAUACUCAUAUUAUCUUAAUUGUUGAAUUGAGUUUUCCUCCAUAUGAUAGUGAAAGAUUAGUAGUGUUUAAAAAAUUAAAAGUGUCACCAAAUUAAGGAAGCUGUUUGAGGGAAUAUGUCAUAAAAAUGGAGAAUAUUCAAAGGGAAUACGAUCUUAUACGAAGAUUUAUUAUCUUUUUGCAACUAAAAAAAUUCUUAUAUGGCUGCCAAAUUAAAGCACACUAUAUACUAUUUAGUUAAUUAGCAUGAUAUGACCCUGUGAAGCAUUAAUGUAUAUAAGCAAGGCCGGCUUGGAGAUUUUAGGGACUUUGUGCGGAAUAUAUAGUAAAUGGACCUUAAUUUGUAUAAAAACUCAUGCUAUACAGCUAAUUUAUAUGUCUAUGUAUUAAUAAGGGAUCUAAGUAGUGUAUUUACUUCUGACUUAUCAUUGAAAUCAACAAACAUCAUGAAAAAUAAAAUAAAAACACAAUUAAUAGCAAAGCCGGCAGAAUCCAAACUAAAAACAUAAAAAUGAUUCUUCUUAUGCAUGUGGAGGCCCUAUUUCUUUUAUUCACAUGAAGAACCUGGAAAAUUUCUGAAAAAUGACAUCAUCCUUUAGCAGGGUUGGGAACCCGGUGCAAGACCGAUUGCACAUGCCCAAAACCGCCACUGUAGAUGAGGUCUUAUUCGCAUUGACGUGUUAAUAUAUGCUGCUUCCAAAAUAAUUAAUUAGUCAGUCUAGGGUUUGCGUAGAACAAAACCUUUACGUCACUUUACCAUCGAAAAUACUUUGAUUUUCAGUUUUGUCAUUAAUUAGCUAAUCAAUCAAUUAAAAAUGAUGAUGAAUAAAUUAACCAAUUGCCAAAAUAUUCGAUUAAUUGAGUUUAAGUUAAUGGCGAUAUAAGAGCGAGAAAUUAAGGAAAGAAAGAGAGGUUGAUCAGCUAAUGAUUUGGAUGAUCGUAUACAUGUAGAUUACAGAGAAGGGAAUAAACGGUGGUGGGAAGUUCAUGAGUUAUAACAUAAAAUCUUGAAGAACUCUAUCUCUUUCAUCAUAAAAUGGGUUGGUCUGGUUGGACCCAAGAACAAAUAUUUUGCUCAAACAAUAAUGUUUAAUAGGGAAGGUAUUGCCUGCUAGCCUACUCACAGCAGUCCAUUAUUUUGAGAACCGAAAAGACUAACAGAGCAUUUCAGCAUCUCUUUGGCCACCAUCAACACUAAGGAUCGAAUCCAAAACAUGCCUUGUUACGGGAUCGAACCCACUGGGCCACCCCGUAGUGAUUUGCCUACCCAUCAUAUGUUGGAGUUUUAUAAAAAUAAAAAAAUAGUAAGCUAGGUAGCAAUACCGAUGUGACUCUCAACAUAUGUAUUCACUCGUAUAGUUUGGCAUGUAUAGGGUUUUUAUCUAAAAUAAGGCUUCAACAUAUUAGGAACAAAACUAUUUAGUAUAAACUAUGUUUAGUUCCACCAAUUUUCAAAUAUAAAACUUUCUACAUUUUUCAACACAAGCACGUGAUGAAAGAAAAAGAGAUGUACCUUGAUUACAAGUAAGAAGCUCUUGCUAAGUGGAAGAGCAUGAUUGGAUGGACCAAAUCAAUGAGGAUAUAUACAUGCAACUUAAUUGAAAUUCGUUGGGUAAAUGUUUUAGGAUGUGAUGGUCAAAAUGUGAUGAACAAUCAGUUUUUGAUUGAAUUGCGAAGUCUUUGCCAAAGUUCAGUGAUUCUGUGAUUGAUUCUUACUCUUUUGUUUGAAACCGACCAGAUUUUGCCACCUUUAACGGCAAUCCACAAGUUUGGUAUCUUACUAUUGCCCAGUUCAUAAGGUAAACCUGCUGGGGUAGACUUUGGAUCAACACCAAGGAAUAUUCUUUUACUUAUCUUGAGACAUCGUCCCUCUACAUCUCAGUUUCAUGCAAGUCAUUUUCAUAAAAUUGGAUGAACCUUUUGAAUUCACAACACCUUUCUCUAACUUUGAAAGACAAGUGUAACUAGAACCAGGAACAAAGAAACCAGAAAGUCGAUUGAUAUGGAAAGAAGAUAGAAGACUGUCCACGUCAUUGAAGAACCGUACCACACGAAUGAGGCCACGUGUGUGAACCCAUGUUUUUUUUUUGGUCAAAAGAUAAAUUUUAUUAAAUUCUAAUAGAAACAUUCACACCUUCUGCAAGAAUAUUGAAAAGACAUUCAUGACCAUAAGCAUCCUAUAGGAACGAACCACAACGCGAGGUUGCAACUCCGCUGAACAUACAUAAACUUCACCUCCCUAAUCUGAGACGCCAAAUUCUGAAUAUAAAAAAUGAAGCAUUUCAAAUUUGCAUCAAUUGUGCAUUCCCCAUUUAUCAUGUUGAUAAGAGAUAGAGCAUCAUACUCUAUCUCUACCAUCUCAUAAUGCAUGUCCCUACACAUCACCAAAGCUGCACGAAUUGCAGCCGCUUCCACCAUAGCUGCACCAUUGAAAAACUCACCUCCCACCCCACCAGCCAUCUGCAAAAGUCCCGCAAAUCUCGCACCACCCACCCAUAGCCACCUAACAUUGAUUUCCCACGCCAUGCCCCAUCACAGUUAAUUUUCAAAGUCCCAAAACUAGGACGUUUGCAUCGAACUUGUUGCCCGGCAAAAACCGACGUUGAAGGUUUCCCGCAGCGCUCCUUCUCCCUUGUCUUUUCCUGCAUGUAGCGAACCCAUGUUGGGUUAAGCUAAAGAUAUCAGUUGGUCAAUUCCAAACCCACCCUUCACACUCUCCUGUCCCGCCUCCCGCCGGCCCCAAUGCCCUUGGAACCACGUACCCAACUACAAACAUAUAUUUCACGAUCACCUCUCUCCCUCCUCCGCCGUACAGAAUUCUACACCCGCCCGUGUGCAUCCCUUGCCUGUCUAUGUUGUUUGGAAAAUAUAGAGUACUUUAAAAGGGUUUUCUUCUUUUAAAUUAGCAUAGACGACUUACAAGAAUUUCAAAACAAAAAUAAUAAUCUCAUCAUAACGUUAAUGUACGUUUAAGAUAGCGAAAGCUUUGAAAUCACUUGCACGUUGGAAGUCAAAAGAUGCUCCUACAUACAACAACGACGUUGUUUUAUUUCACUAAGUGAGGUCAGUCGUAUAAAUUAUAAAACGCUACUGCACUCAAUUUUGCGUCAAGUAUUUCGUUAGCUCAAAGUACUCAAUGUUUUUUUUAAAGUAUUUUUUCAAAUUUUCCUAGGUCUUCAUCGAUCUACCCUUUUUGCACUGAGCAUCUGUCUCAUAAGCGCAUUUUCUAACCAAAGCAUUUAUAGAUCUUCGUUUCACAUGUUCAAACCACCUUAACCAAUUUUUUUUUCAUUACCUUCAAUUGCAACCACUCCUAAUUUGCCUUGGAUAUCCUCGUUAAUCUUGUCAUUUCUCGUGUACCCACACAUCUAACAAAACAUUCUCAUAUUCUCUACACUCAUUUUUUGCAUGUGUUGAUGCUUGGUAGUUGGUACCCCCAAAAUAUAUUUAUAUAUAUUGAAAAUAAACAGACAAAAAAAUUGGUAUAAAAUAUAAAAUUUUGCGGACAUGGUCGAGCAAAACUGCUAAUUUAAACACAAACAAACUUGCCCUCGAUUAAUAUCAUUUGUUAUUCACACUUUUAUUUUAAGAAGCAUAAUACUAGUAUUGAUUCUAGAAGACUUACAAUUUUCAAGUAAUAUAAUAAUGAUUCAUUUGUUCUUCACAUUUUAUAUACGACAUUAUUUGUUGUGUACCCCAAUCUUACACUUUAACCAUCCAUUUAAAUAAUUAUCUAUUUAAGUACGAUUAAAAAAAAAGAAAAUUCGAACAAAAAUAUAAAGAGAAAACACAUUAUCUUAAGCAACUAAAUUACGUAUAUGUGUACAUAUUUCAUGUUUCUAGUGGUACAGUAGAGCAUUAGUUUAUCCCCUCCAUCAAUGUUCCACCCUCUACCCUCUGGUGGUCCUUACUCUCUUUACAAUAUUUAAAUUGUCUUAAUCAAUUUAUUAUUAUAACUAAAAAUUUAUAAAAAGAAAUUGGCAUAUAUACGCGCACCCGUGUGUGUGUAUGUAUAUAUAUUUUUAAAAUUGAUAUUAUUAUUUAUUAGCAAGCGAAAUUAUUAGUUGUUAUGUAAAAGACAUUAGUUUUCCUUAGAACGAGAGUUUUAACGAAACACUCAUAGUACUGUUCAUUUUAACGAAAAAUGACAAUUUUACUUUAAAAAGUCACUCAUUGUACCAUUCACUUACAACACAUUUUUGUCAUUUUGAUUAAAACUCAAAAUUUUCAAGUAAUUUUCAUUAGUUUUCCUUAGAAUUAAACCUAUACUAGAAUGCAUAAUCAUCAUUACUUUCUAUUAUUGUCCUAAAAUGUCAUAUGCGUCCAUAUAUCUUGACUUUAGAGUAAGAUUUUCUCAUCUCCUAUUUCUCUCUCCUUGUCUCACACUUUCUUUUUUGUCUUAUUUCUCAAUAAGAAAAUCAAUAUAAGAUGCUUACGUAACUUUUUUUUUUUGACAAGUACAAUAUUCAUUAGGACAGGACAAAAUUCGUACAAACUGAGGAUAGUGUGCUAAAUGGGCAUCGAUAAAAAACUUGUCGGAGAUUUUAACCCGGUCUAAGAAAAAGAGUGUCCUGCACAACGAAAGAGCUAUCCUCUUACGUAACUUAAUCGUACUAUUUAAAUAGAAUAAGAAGAAAUAAGAGAGAUUAGGAGAAGAUAAUCCUACUCCUCGACUAUCAUUAUCUACUCUGUUAUCUCUGUCGCCCUAUAUAUAAUAUUCCCUCCAAAGUUACUACAACUCAAUUCCCCUUGUAAAAUCACUCCCUCCCUACUCUCAAACGCUCUCUCUCUCUCUCUCUCUCUCUCUCUCUCUCUCUCUCUCACAUCAGCAAUAUCAGAACCUGAGAUAACACUGAUAGAGCGCAGCCAACAGCAGCUGCGCAAAGUAUACUUCCAAUUCCCGGUUCGUUAACUAACGGUUUUCCUCUCUUCCCAUUUUACCCCUCCCGUCUUCUCCAAUUCACAUCCAAACGCCAUCGCACCUCCACCACGAGAUCUGAACACCGGAAGAGUGACUAAUAAUUAAGCAACGGCGCCGUUUCACUCACGCGCACUCCCAACAGCCAGUAAAAAAUGAUUUCGUGGCACGACCUUUACAACGUGUUGACGGCGGUGGUGCCGCUGUACGUGGCGAUGAUCUUAGCCUAUGGCUCCGUCCGGUGGUGGAAGAUCUUCUCCCCUGACCAGUGCUCCGGCAUCAACAGCUUCGUGGCGAUAUUCGCUGUCCCCUUGCUCUCCUUCCACUUCAUCUCCACCAACGACCCCUACACCAUGAACUUCCGGUUCAUCGCCGCCGACACCCUCCAGAAAAUCAUCAUGCUCUUCGCCCUCGGCCUAUGGACCAACUUCACCCGCAACGGCAGCCUAGAGUGGCUGAUUACGAUUUUCUCCCUCUCCACCCUCCCCAACACUCUCGUCAUGGGGAUUCCGCUGUUAAUCGCCAUGUACGGCAAAAAAAUCCCGGAAUCCGGCAGCCUCAUGGUGCAGCUGGUGGUGGUCCAGUGCAUCAUCUGGUACACUCUCCUACUCUUCCUGUUCGAGUACCGCGGUGCCAAGCUCUUAAUCAUGGAGCAGUUUCCGGAGACCGCUGCCUCCAUCGUCUCCUUUAAACUCGACUCCGACGUCGUUUCGCUCGACGGCAGGGAUUUUUUGGAAACCGAUGCCGAAAUCGGUAACGACGGAAAGCUCCACGUCAAGGUCCGGAAGUCCAACGCAUCGAGGCGGUCGCUAUCUGCAAUGACGCCCCGGCCGUCUAACCUCAGCAGCGCGGAGAUUUACAGCCUGAGCUCCUCCCGAAAUCCCACCCCGCGAGGCUCCAACUUUAACCCCUCCGAUUUGUACUCCGUGAUGGGGGUUCAUGGGUUCAACAGCCGCCACUCCAACUUCGGACCCGCCGACUUGUAUUCGGUUCAGUCCUCCCGCGGUCCGACUCCACGGCCCUCCAAUUUCGAGGAGAAUUGCGCGGCUCAGACCGUUAUGACGGUACCCGCAUCGUACCCGGCCCCGAAUCCUGAAUUCUCGGCGCCCACAGCUAAAAAUAGCAACACAAUUCAACAGCAGCAGCAGCCGCAAGUGGCAGCGCAACCGGUUUCGGACAGUGCUGCUGCUAAAACGAAUAGUCAUCUCGAUGCUAAAGAGCUCCACAUGUUCGUUUGGAGCUCCAGCGAGUCCCCUGUUUCUGAAGGCAGUGGGCUCCAUGUUUUUGGUGGGACCGAUUUCGGUGCUGCCGAGGAAUCUGGACGGUCCGAUCAUGGCGCCAAGGAGAUCAGAAUGCUUGUUGCUGACCACCUCCAAAAUGGAGAAAACAAAGGUAACUAACGUUUAUUUCCCGACAAAAAGUGUUUGUAAUCUGAAUAAAAUACACGAAAAUAUUUGACAAGUUAUCAUUUUCUUAAUUAAUAUUCUUUAUUUUGUGCGGUGGCAGUUCCGGAGAGUGCGCCAACGGCGGAGGGGUACGGCGGGGAAGCGUUGAGAUGUGGCUGGAGGGGUGGCGAGGGAGAGGAGGCUGAAGGGGAAAAAGAGGGAACCACAGGGCUUAAUAAGCUGGCGUCCAGCUCCACUGCAGAGCUGCACGCAAGGGGCGGAAGGCAAAUGCCGCCGGCGAGCGUUAUCACCCGUCUGAUCUUGAUCAUGGUUUGGCGGAAGCUUAUCCGUAACCCCAACACGUAUUCGAGCCUCAUUGGUCUCAUCUGGGCUCUCAUCGCUUUCCGGUGAGACAACUUAAUCCAGUUUUAUUAAACUUGUUUUUUUUUAAUAUGUUUGAUACAAAUAUUUUUAACUAACACUAGCCAAUGAGCACACACUCUGUGGGUGGGAAUAAUUUCAUUUUAUUUUUAGUAUUUUCAUUAAGGAGUGUGAUUAGUUUUUAAAAUUUUAAAAAGAAUAUGAACAAAUAAUUGUGGGAUAAUUUCUCUUAAUAAAUGCAUAUUUUAUCUUAAUAUUACAUAAUUUUUUUUAAAAAGAGUAUGAAAAAAUAAUGAUAAGACAAUUUCUCUUAAUAAGUGCAUAUUUUAUCUUAAUAUUACAUAAUUACUGUUUUUUUGUUUUUUCAUUAAGGAGUGUGAUUAGUUUUGAAUUUUUUUAAAAAAGUAUGAAAAAAUGAUGGUGGGACAAUUUCUCUUAAUAAGUGCAUAUUUUAUCUUAAUAUUACAUAAAAAAAUUUAAAAAGAGUAUGAAAAAAUGAUGGUGGGAUAAUUUCUCUUAAUAAGUAUAUAUUUUAUCUUAAUAUUACAUAAUUAUUGUUUUGUCCUCCUUAUGUAAAUAUUGUGUAUCAAAAGUGAGGGUAAAAUAGGAAAAAUAGGAAUAUGAUUGUCAUUUUCUCAAAGAUACAAAAUUACUGUUUUGCCCUAGUUAUGUAAGUAUUGUGUAUUAAAAGUGAGGGCAAAAUAAGAAAAAAUAGGGUAAAAAUUUGACAAAAAGGGUUCUCUAAAUAAUAGUAUAGAUUAAAAUUUAUGAUUUGAAUUAUUGGAUUUGUAGGUGGCAUGUGGGGAUGCCAAAAAUAGUAGAAAAGUCAAUUUCCAUACUGUCUGAUGCUGGACUUGGAAUGGCUAUGUUCAGCUUAGGUAAGUUAUAUGUUUCUUGAUUACCAUACUCUUUCAAAUUAAUAACUUCAUAUUCUUCUCUUGGAUAAUACUUAGAAAAUUGUUACUAGCACUACACAAUAUUUCUUCAACAUUCCUAAUUAGAUAAAGAAAAACUGUAACAACAACCACACCAACAAAGUUUUAUCACAAUGAGUGAGGUUGAGUGCAUGAAUUCUAGAACGUCACUGUGCUGGAUUUUGCGCUAAGUUUUUCGUUAGCUUUAAGCACUCAAUGUCUUUUCUUAGAGUCUGUUUUCAAGUUUUUCUAAGUUUUCCUCUACCAUUUUUGCCCAGAGCCUCUGUUUCCUAAUAAUAAGUUGCACCGCCUAGAACAAUAGUCAUGGUUCGGUAAUUUAUGCAAGUAAACAUUGGCAGAAUGUUGUUUGUCUAGCGUAAACCGAAACACACUAUGAUAAUAUAUUUCAAGUCAAUUACGCAUUUGUUAUAGCAUAAUUUCAAUUACAGAUAAGUUUAUAUGGGUGUGGAUACGCAGUACUCUGACGAAUCAUAACCAACCAGUGGUUCUUACAGCUGUUUGUUUGGUCACAAGAAAGAGAAGUUGAAGGCUGCAGUUUAAGGAGUUCACUAUAAUUGGACAUUUUUCACGACAGAUGCGUGAUUAGGUCCAAAUUAGUCAAUGUAGUUGAAAGUUUGAGAUAACCGGCUGGAGUAUGGGAAUAGGAAAUUUGAGCUUUUGGUUUGUGUGAAAGAGAGUUUGAAAUCAUUAGUUUGUGUGAAGUGAGUCAACGAAAUGAGUUAAUGGAAAUAAUAAGAUGCAAUUUAAGUUGUUUGGAUUGCCUGAUCCUUGGGUCGUAGACAGUAAACUUAGUAAGAUUCGGAGUGAAUCUAUGUCUCUUACGAAAAUAAAUAAACUUGUUUAUGUUAAUAUAUUUCUAUUCACGGGUGAUUUUAGCACUUCUCGUUUGACUUUCCUUCUCUUUGUAACUUAAAUUUAAUUUGUAACAAAGGGAAUAACGAGUUACUGAUGAUUUUGUUGUUGUAUUGAUGAUAAAAAUGACAGGUCUUUUCAUGGCACUUCAACCCAGGAUAAUAGCAUGUGGGAACUCAGUUGGCGGAUAUGCAAUGGCAGUAAGGUUCCUCACUGGCCCCGCCGUUAUGGCUGCCGCCUCCAUUGCUGUUGGCCUCCGGGGCACCCUCCUCCACUUAGCGAUUGUCCAGGUACUUUUAAAUUACCCAUUACGCCCUUCAACUUUUUCCUUUUCUUUACGCUUAAUAUUGGGAUAAUUAUUAAAAAAAAUUAAUCCAUGUGUGGCAAACUAGGCUGCUCUUCCUCAAGGACUUGUUCCCUUUGUCUUUGCCAAGGAGUACAAUGUUCAUCCAGCCAUUCUUAGCACUGCGUAAGUAGAAACAUUGUAUCUCAAACUUAGUUCUCGUUUGAAAGUGCUGUUAAAAUGACUGAAAACGUUUUUGGUAAUAUUGAUUUUAGGUGUUAAAAGCACUUUAAGUGAUUUUCUCAUGAUAUAUUUGAAGAUUGGUUUUAAAAACAUUUUCACUAAAGCGCUUUUAGUCAUUUUUAAAGCACUUCAAAUCUAGCGCUUAAUCCCUUCUUAUCUUAAUCAAACUUAAUUUUAUUUUAUAAUAUUAACCAAUUAAAUAAUUUCUUGCAGGGUUAUUUUCGGAAUGUUGAUAGCGUUACCUAUUACAUUGGUCUACUAUAUUCUUCUGGGAUUGUAAUUGUUGGUGUCACAGAAGCACAGAUGGAUACACAAAGCUAGGAAAAAGAAGAGAGAUCAAAUCGUAUGUGUGUGGCCACGCAAAAAUACUCAAAAUGUGUCACACAUUGAAAUCGACAAGGAUUUUCUGGUAGAGAAAAAGCUUAGCUAGCUAGAUUAAGUACGAUGGAAAUCAACGAAGAAUCCGCCGAGGUCUGAAGGUGUUUUAUUCCAAAUUUUGGGGAGCAAAUUAAUAGAUUUUUUUACUUUAUGUAAUUAAGAAAAGCCCUGUUUAUAAGGAUCAUGCUCCCAUGAAAGGCCGAAGUUAGUCUAAAUUUGUGAGAGCUUGUUGGAAGGGAGCAAACGUAGGAGAGUAAAACAAGGAAGAAAAGCAGAUGAUUUAUUAAUUAAUCAAUGUGCUUUGUUGCGUUAGAUUUUGCGUCAGACUUAUUGAUUUUUAUUUAUUUCUUUAAUCAUACGUGUUCUUUCUGCUCUCAACUAAACUAAGAAAACAAAAUAUUCGAGAGCAGUAAGUUGAAGAUGAAAAUCGUAUCUAACAAUGCGAUUCCCCACUUAUGCCUCUUCUAUAUUUUAAGCAAUGGGAGCAACUUGUAGUAUUGUUCUGUGAAGACUUUUACCACUUGGGGGUUAGAGCAACCGAACAAGCAAAGGUUUUUCUCGAAAGCACAUUGUCUUUCUAUCAACUGAAAGUGAGAACGAAUCAUGUACGUUUAGGCACAGGAGAGGAUUUUGUAGUUGGGAAGGGGGUGAUGCUUCUUCUUUCAAGAGAAAAAGUUGAGAGAAAGUAAAACAGAGACGUAGAUAAACACAAGUCAAAAGUAGUUUUAGACUGUUACUUAAUACUACUAUUUAGUGAUAUUCUUCUUCAUUUGUAAGUUGCAAGUGAGAAGUUUUAGAUUCGAUUAUUGCCAAAAAUAAAUUUAAACUACAUUAUUAUGACUAGUUUAUUGUGAUGCUUACACUUCCCCAACAGCUAAUAUUAUUGUUCGUUAAAAGAACAUAGUUUUAGGCUUAGAUUACUCUUUUGCUUUUCGCUUUUGAUGCAGCCACACUAAGUCACGAAGCCCACAACCCUACCCUACUUUUUAGUUUUUAUUUAGGCCCACUAGGCAGUGGUGGGAUGGUCAACACAAUUAAAAUUUAAGAGUGAUUAUAUUCACACACCUCAAAUUAUUUUUUUCAUACUUUUUUAAUUUUUUACACACCACUAUACUUGAUAGAAAAAUAUUAAAAAAUUAAAAGAUGUGGAUGAAGUAAUUUGGAAUGUGUGAAUAUAAUCUCCCAAAAUUUAAUUGUAUUUUUUUAGUUUUUUAUUUUUAAACGAUUAUUAUUAGUACUCUAAAAUAUAAUUAUGCAUUUCAAAUUUUUUAUAUUUAAAACAAAUACGUAUAAAAUGUGUAAAAUUAUAAUGUUAAAGUGCUAAUAGUAGUUCCUUAUUUUUAUUUUACUUUUUUCCUCAUGAGGAAAUGAUAAAUAAUACUUAGUUACUCAAAUGAUGAGUAUGAGUUCCUAUUCAAAAUUAUUCGGUGCAAAUUCAUAUAAUUCGUGUUUAUGAUCAGAAUCGUUCGUAUUAUAAAUCAUUUUAUAAAGAUCAUCUCUACAAAAAAAUCAAUUAAACCUAAUGUCUUUUAGUGAACAAAUGAACGAAAUUGGUAAAAACACUACGAACUGUCUUUGUAUUUGCUACAAUAGAUUGACUAAACGUCCUAAAUUUAAUUUAUUUUUUGCAGAAAUGUUAUUUACAGAGUGAUUCAUAAUAUGAAUAGUUUUGAUUAUAAAUGGGCCAAUUAAGUUAAGGGCAUUUUUUUAGUACAAUCGGUAUUUUACAUUAGUUUAUAUUAAAGGUGAAUGAAAAGAUUUAAACUUGGGACGUAAUAGCUUGAAGAAGAGUUUUUCAACUAUCAGGGUAAAAGAAAUGCUUAUGGAACUAUCCAUAGAUUCUCUGUCAUCUCAGGUAGUUUUUAUCACAAUAUUUUAUAAUAGGGUAAAUUACAUAGUAGCCCCUCAGGUUUGAGGUCUAUUACAACCCCAUACAACAUCUUUAAAACAUUUCACUUUCAUACCUCAAGUACUAUUUUAUUUCAAAAUAAUACAACCGUUAGAUUUUCCAUCCAUUGAUCCGUUAAGCGCUGACGUGGCUGCCACAUUUGUGCCACGUGGCUGCCAAAUGUGUGCCACGUGGUUAAAAAAAAUUAUUUUUUUAUUUUUUUUAAAACCUAAGUCUUCUAUUAAAAAAAAAAAAAAAGCCCAAAACAAAUGCAGAAACGCGCAACCCAGCAAACUCACUUCCUUUCCCUACCCCCCCACGCCCCCGCACCCGCACCACAGCACCUCCCUUCCCCACCUUCCCAGACCUUCCCCGAGCCCUUCCCAGCAGCUCCCCCCCACCCAGAAACCUUUUCCCCCCCCUCCCGCAGCAUACCCACACCCUCCCCGCAUGACCCGUCCGCAGGCUUUUUUUGGGUUUUAGGAACUCGAUCAAAUUAGGGUUCUUUUUCUUCUAAUUCCUGUUCAAAGAAUCAAUCAUAGAAGAGGAGGCAAUGGCGACAGAGUCAUCGGAGGGAGAAGAGGAUGCGAAGCUGAUGGGAGGGAACCAGCUACUGGUAGUCGACGACGAUCUCAGAGAAAUGGGCAAGAAGGCUGCCUGGAGCGUUAGCUCCUGCAAGGCCGGCAAUGGCGUCUGUUUUCCGUGACGACAAUCUCGACACCUACUGGCAGUCUUUGCUCCAAUUCCCCUUUCCUACUUUAAUCCCUCAAAAUAUUGAAAUCUUUGAAUUUUAAUUUUGUUUGUUUGUUCUUGGUUUGCAGAUCCGACGGUGUGCAGCCUCAUUUGGUGAACAUUCAAUUCCAGAGGAAAGGCUUCAAGGUAUGGUGGUUGCAGGUAGGGGAGUCGGGGGAAGAAGAGAUGGGAGGAGGAGGGGGACGACGAACUGAUGGGUAUUUUUUUUUUUCUGGGUUGCAGAGGGGGUUUUUUUUUUUUUUUUUCUGGGUUGCAAAGGGUUUUUUUUUUUUUUUUUUUCUGGGUUGCAGGGGGAAGAAGAUGAAGAUGGGGGAGGAGGAGAAGAUGGAAGGGGGGGAGACGAACUGGGUUUAGGUUUAGGUUUUUAUUAUUUUUUUUUAAAUUUUAAUUUUUUUUUAUAAAUUUUUAUUUAGAAGAUUUAGGUUUUUUUUUAAAAAAUAAAAAAAUAAUUUUUUUUGCCACGUGACACACAUUUGGCAGCCACGUGGCACAAAUGUGGCAGCCACGUCAGCGCUUAACGGAUCAAUGGAUGGAAAAUCUAACGGUUGUAUUAUUUUGAAAUAAAAUAGUACUUGAGGUAUGAAAGUGAAAUGUUUUAAAGAUGUUGUAUGAGGUUGUAAUAGACCUCAAACCUGAGGGGCUACUAUGUAAUUUACCCUUUAUAAUAUUGACAUAAGAAUUGAUAUUAAAUUGUGAUGUGACAGAAAGUCAAUAGUCCUACUUUUUAGAGAAUCUCUUUAGUAUUUCUCACUAGGUGAUCCACCACUUGUAAGUUAAGAUGGUAUUUCAAUUACCAAUUAAUUAAAUCAAUGUUUCUAGAUGCAAAAUCCAUCGACAAGUUGGUGAAUUUUAGGAUAAUUAGGCAUUAGGGCAAAGGGGAACCCCGUAUCCCAAGAUUUGAUGUAAGGAGGAGGGGUUAUGUAGUUUUGGGAGGGAACACACGCACUACACAGUGUUAGGUGUUAAUUUCCCCCGUAAAAAGUUAAAAAAAGUAAGGAAUCAAAGAACAAAAAUUAGGCAAUAAAUCACGGACAAGGGAAGAAAGACCAACAUGCUCGACGAUCGAUCAGUCGGCCAAUAAGAAAACGAAAGCGACGGCAGUCAUGCAUGCAUGCAUGAGUCCAUUUUUGCUCACUACCCUUAAGUGAUGGUAAUGCUCACCAUCCUAUUUAUAAGUCUAUAACCGUUAGAUGAGUUUGAAUUUUGAGAUUUGUCAUAUCCACUACACAAAUCUCGAAAUUCAAACUCAUCUAACAGUAAUAAAUAAAGUGAUGAGCAUACACCAUUGUUUAUGAUAGUGAGGAAAAAUACUCUCAUGCAUGCAUGCAUGCAUGUUGAAUGUUGGAGGUUGCAAAUUGGCGAAUUACGAAACGGCGGACUCAGCCUUGACAUGCAGAUGGGUUCGCUCUCACAUGCGAUUGUAGCCACAAUCCAACAAAUGCAAUUAAGCAGCUAGCUCUCACCCCCAUGUGUGCACUGUGUUGUCUACCGCACUGUGUUGUCUACCUCACUUUCUUCUCAAUAAUAUAUAAGAAUUCAUGAUUUAUAUUCAAACUUCAAAUUACAUAGACACGUCUUGUGAUAAACUCUUACAUUUGUCAUGUUGUGUAUUUGAUAAAAUGCUAGUUGAAAGACAAUUUAUCAAUGUAAACUCGUUAGGUACUGAGCUUUUUCAUGAAAUCUUGACACUGUCUCAACUCACUAUCCUGUUUUAGUAGCUACUACUUGCUAAUGAUUAAAUGGCUAAUAAUUAUCAAGUUGUAAAUAAUAUCGGUGUGCAAGUGAUAAUUACUAAGUUAAGGAUAAUAUCGGAGUUGUUUUAAGUGAAUAUUUGGCUCGUCUCUCAACAAUUUGACAUUAUUUUCUAUUCAAACACGUGACCAAAGUGGCCGGGGUCCAUGCUCAUGUGGAUCUCCAUGUUUUGUUCGUGUGGAGCUGGAGCCUAGAGAGCUUGCUAAAACUGUUUCAAACGGCGAUUGCAGCCAAACAUGCCAUUGCAAUCUAUAUAUGACUGAUCGAAUUUCUCAUUGACACCAGUAGACAAAAAGAUAUAUAUAGAAUCCAAGCAAGGUAGGAACUGUUUGGGAACCAAGUUCCUCUGAGGCUUUUGGACUUUGUUGUUGCAACUUUUCUUUGGAUACAAAGGGGGAAUGGACCCCAAUGCGACACGAACCACACAGAUACACACACAUCAACAACAACAACAAUAACAAAGUUUUUUCACUAAGUAGGGUCGGCUACACACACAUAUACAUAUAUAUAGUUAAGCAGCUAUAAGAGUCUGAGGGUCCUACCAUUUUAGGACUUUUUACCCUGUAAAGGGAUCGAACCCAACUUUGUGUGGAUGAUAAAAUACAUGCAUGGAAGCCGAUUAGGUUUAUAAAUUAAGAGUCCCCCCCGAUAUGGAAUUAUAAGGUCCUAAAACUCCAGGCCUUUUCAAGUUUGAACUUAUCUCAAUGUAACACACACACACACACACACACACACACACAUAUAGAUAUAUAUAUAUAUAUAUAUAUCCUUUUGCAGCUAAAGAAGAAGCCUCUGCAUAUGCAAUGCAUGAUUAAUUGAUCGUUUGCUGCUGAUUAUUCCGAACUUUAGUCGUACAUUAAUGCCGUCAGUCCAUAUAUAAAAAUUUACUUAUUCAUUGAUUGGGUUUUCAACGAGUUGUUUUAACAAUAAUGUUAUUUAGACUCACAAAACUACUGAUGUUAAUUACUACAUGCUCUUUAAUAAUAUAGAUGAAUUCACCAUUGUACGUAAAAUAUGUUAGCGAUAUUGUCAAUUUAUGUAAAGAUAAAUGGGUGAUUAGAUUGGACUGAAGAUGAGUAGGGUACACCAUAAAGAACAUAUGGUAGUGUCCUUGUGCGCGUGGCUUCAUACUUGAGCAUACAUGGGGGCCAUGCUACCCUUCUGGUCCUAAGUUCUGCAGGCACACCACCUCAUGAUACAAAAUCAAAUCUUCUGAAUAAUGAAACUAUGAUUAUGUACUGCGUGACUUAAUCGGUUCCUUUCAAUAUUAUAUGCCCCCUAGCUAUUUCAUAACCAAAAUUUAUUCAGGUGGAAAUUUUCAAUAACAUAAGAGUGUGUGUGUGUGUACAUACAUAUAUACAUAUAUAAAAGAAUCGAGAGAUAUCAAAAGAAAUGUUCACUAGUACAAAAACAUGUUUGCGCGACGGAAACUUGCGCGACGCAGCAAAUUUCGUCGCGCAAAUAGCCUUUGCGCGACGACACUUUGCGCGACGAAGUCUUGCGUCGCUCAAAGCAGUUUUGCGCAACGAAGGUAUACCUACGUCGCGCAAAACAUCUUUGCGCGACGCAAGCCUUCGUCGCGCAAAGUGUCGUCGCGCAAAGGCUGUUUGAGUGACGUUUUGUGCAUCACCAUCCCAACUUUGCGUGACGCAUGUGCAUAUACGUCGCGCAAAGUCGACGACUUUUUUUUCUAAAAUAACCACACACAAGGGCCUUUUUCUUCACACUCAACCUCUUUCUUUCAGACUCUCCGUCUCUCUCAACCUUCAGGUAUUGUAUUUAUUUGAUUAAUUAAUUAACUAUUUAUUGAUUACAUUUAUGUUUGGAUUUUUUAUUUUUGUGUAUUUAUGUUUUUCUUUAAUUAUCUUUGUCAAUGCUUAUUUUUAACAAGUUGAGUUUUGGUUUUGAACAAUUGAAUGAGUAGAAUGAAUGACUAGGAGUAUGAAGGAUUUUGAUAGGUUUAGGGAAACAAAAGCUAAGAAACUGCAAGUUGCUCAGUUAACUUGAUCCAAUUUAGGGAUAGAUUGAUGUGUGCAAAAAAAUGAUUUCAUUUCUCACCAAAUUGGGAAGAGGAAACUAGAAUGUUAGACAUUUAGAGAAGAAUCCAGUUUACAUCUUUGUCAAACCACUAUUCUAUUAUGUGGUUAGUAAUCAUUUUAGGUGUAGUCUCUACCCUUUACGAUUUUGAAUACGUAGUCUCAUCAUAUAGGUCCUUAAACAAUAAUUUUAAGGCAUGAGUGGAAGAGGUAUACAAGAAGUAAAAACUGUGGAAUAUAGGAAAAAAAAAACACUUUGCGCGACGGAGGUACACAUGCGUCGUGCAAAGCUACUUUGCGCGACGCAUGUGUACCUCCGUCGCGCAAAGUGUUUUUUUUUUUUUUUUGCCUUUUGCUUUGCUUUUGGGGUUCUUGCAUUGGCUUUUUCUUUUGUGGUAUCCACUUGUGUAAAUGUUUUAAAUUGACGAUCGAAUUAGUUCCUUGCAUUCAUAUAGGAUCCAAGAGUGUAGCUGUAAAAAAUCAUCAAAAUCGGAGUUAAAAUAACCGUUAACUCGUUAUUUUUUCUUUUAUAACCGUCAAAAAGUUUUGUCCCGUUACUUGAUCUUUGAAGGUUUGUUUUUUUCAAUUUUUGGCGUAUGUGAUCUCAAAGCAUAUACAAACAAAUUUGACGGUUAGAUCGUUGAAACUAGUUUUGUACAAUGUGUAUCCCAUUAAAACAAUAGAUUCCCUAACACUUAUAUUUUAUUUAUACUUUCAUCAAGUAUAACAUAAAAUUUUGUGGUAUCCACUUGUGUAAAUGUUUUAAAUUGAUGAUCAAAUCAGUUCCUUAUAUACAUAUAGGAUCUAGGAGUGUAGCUGUAAAAAAUUAUCAAAAUCGGAGUUAAAAUAACCGUAAAAUCUUGAUUUUUUUGUUUAUAACCGUCGAAAAGUUUUGUCCCGUUACCUGAUCUCUGAAGGUUUGUUUUUUGCCAUUUUUGGUGUAUGCGAUCUCGAAGCAUAUACAAACAAAUUUGAUGGUUGGAUCGUUGAAACUAGUUUCAUACAAUGCGUAUCCCAUUAAAAUGAUAGAUUAUCCAACACUUAUAUUUUAUUUAUACUUUCAUAAGUAUAACAUAAGAUUUUGUGGUAUCCACUUGUGUAAAUGUUUUAAAUUGACGAUCGAACCAGUUCCUUGUAUUCAUAUAGGAUCCAGGAGUGUAGCUGUAAAAAAUCAUCAAAAUCAGAGUUAAAAUAACCGUUCAAUCGUGAUUUUUCGUUUAUAGCCGUCGAAAAGGUUUGACCCGUUAUAUAAUCUCUGAUUGUUUGUUUUUUGCGAUUUUUGGUGUAUACGAUCUCGAAUCAUAUAUAAACAAGUUUGACGGUUGGAUUGUGGAAACUAGUUUCGUAAAAUGCAUUUCCCAUCAAAACGAUAGAUUUACUAAAACUUGAGAGUUUAUUUAUACUUUCAUUAAGUAUAACAUAAGAUUUUGUGGUAUCCACUUGUGUAAAUGUUUUAAAUUGACGAUCGAACCAGUUCCUUGUAUUCAUAUAGGAUCCAGGAGUGUAGCUGUACAAAAUCAUCAAAAUCGGAGUUAAAAUAACCGUGAAAUCGUGAUUUUUUCGUUUAUAAUCGUUGAAAAGUUUUGUCUCGUUACUUGAUCUCUGAAUGUUUUUUUUUUACGAUUUUUGGCGUAUGCGAUCUCGAAGUAUAUACAAACGAGUUUGACUGUUGGAUCGUUGAAACUAGUUUCGUACAAUGCGUAUCCCAUCAAUUUCAAUACAUUCACAAAGACUUGAAGUUUAUUUAUAAUUUCAUUAAGUAUAACAUAAGAUUUUGUGGUAUCCACUUGUGUAAAUAUUUUAAAAUGACGAUCAAAUUAGUUCAUUGUAUUCAUAUAGGAUCAACGAGUGUAGCUAUAAAAAUCAUCAAAAUCGGAGUUAAAACUACAGUUAAAUCGUGAUUUUUCGUUUAUAACCGUCGAAAAAUUCCUGUAACUUGAACUUUGAAAGUUUGUUUUUUGUCGAUUUUUGACGAAUGCGAUCUCGAAGUAUAUACAAACAAGUUUGACGGUUAAAUCGUAGAAUGCGUAUCUCAUCAAGUUGAAUGGUACAUAUAUUUAUUAAGUAGCUUUAAUUUUUUUUAUUUUGUACGUAUAACACUUAAGAAAUUGAAUGGUAUAUAUAUUUAUUAAGUAGUUUUAAAUUUAUUAUUGUACGUAUAACCCUUUGCACGACGCACCAACCAAUGCAUCGCGCAAGUUGUUGAAAUUUUGGCGGUACGAUUGAAAAAAAUAGGCGCUUUUUUUUUUUAAUUUUUCUCAAAUUACUUAUAAUUGCUCUCGCUUGGUCUCUCUCUUCCUUCUCGCUCAUCUCGCCCUCUCUCUCACUCCGUCUCGCUCUUCUCUCCCACUCCGUUAGACGAAUUACAAAGACGAAGGAAGACAGCAGCCACUACCCACCCAUCUGUUUCUCCUCCGCUCCACCCUCCGUCGGCGUUUUGGGCAUUUUACCUGAUAGGGAUGUGCACCACCAGUAGAGCCGCGACUUGUGGUACGCAUUCAACCGAGAGUCACACACUGACACAAGUACACUAUUUGCCUGUAAUCUUCGUCUCCGCACAACACACAUACGUGGGUCGGUAAGCCCUUCCAAUUUCCCAAUCAUUUCCCUUCUCAAAUUUUGACAUAUAUGAAUUCCCAGUAUUCCAAUUACCAGGAAUUCACAGUGUUUGCUGUUUGCGUUCCCAUUUCACUGUAAAUUUCAAUCCUCACUGCCAUUUUUCACCUUAGUUUCCAGUAAUCAGUGAGAAAAAGUGUAAAUUUACCUGUUUAAAUUUGUGGGUUUUCGUUCUAUUACCGUAUAAUGGCGAUUUCUAUGCUUUACGGAGCUCAGAAUCUCAAACUUGUCAAUGGAAUAAUAGCAGUAACACCAAGUGGGUUAGGUUCUGGUGGGAAAAAUUACCCUUAUGGGGUUUUUCCCAGAAGGGUUUAGUGAGCUAUGGCGGUAGGAGUCGAAACACCAAUCGCCGCACCAACUUGCCAAGGCUAAGGAGAAGGAGCCCUUGAAGGAAUGCAGGAAAAUUGAAGGGGAUGCCGAUGAUCUGCCGUACCCAACUGAUUACGUGGAUCGAUAUGUCUCUGCUGGAAGGUACAAUUUCUGCUUGUUUUGCUUCCUAUAAUCAGUGUAAUGAAUUUGCAUUUAAAGGAAUCUCAAAGUGUAAUGUGUUUACAUUUAAAGGAAUGUCAAGUGGCGUUUUGAGCAAUGGGGUUAUUUGUCUGAAGUUCGGGUGUAGAAAUGUAUCAUAAAUUUAGCCAAGCUUAUUAUCACUUAUUUCAAAUUUUAGUGUCAAAUUCUGUUAUAAUGUUUCCUUGUUGUCAGGUUUGUUUCAGAUUUACAUCUUUUUCUUUUUGCCUUUGCUAGAUUUUCAAUUUUGUUAUAAUGUUUCCUAGCGGGUUAAUAGCACUUUAUCAUAUUAUACUUGUAAAGCUUGGCAUGCCCGUCUUUGCUUCAAUCUUGAGGUCCAGUAGCUUUUAGUGUCAAAUUCCAUUUGACCAUGAAUUGUAGAUCAUCACCUGCUUUAAAAUUCAAAACUUGUCUGCCUGCUUUGAAUUGGAAGGAUUCAGUUUAAGUUUAAAAUAGGGAAUAAGUUGACUUACUUUGAAUUGGAAGGAUUCCGUUUAAGUUUGCCUGCUCUGAAUUGGAAGGAUUCAGUUUAUGUUUAAAACUUGUGAUUUAAGUUGUUGAGUUUAUGGCUUUCGCUUCAAAAUGCUCAUGGAUUAAGGAAAAUUUCCUGUUAUUUGAUUUAGUCCUCUCAUUUCUCGUAUGUGGUUAUGCAUCUAUUGCGAAUUCUUAGGGCAUAUCGCAUUUGUCUUUAGGCAUUCAAUUAUUUAGAGUUACCGUACUUACUCUUGCACUCUUGUCACCAUUGAUGAUCUAUCUGCCUGUGUAUUUACUUUGUUAUAUAUAUUUUGGGUCGUGUCUGUAAUUUGUACUUCUAUAGUUAAGUGUGUGGGGUUUGGCGUUUUGAUGUUUUAAGGUCAUUUAAUUGCAGAUAAAUGGUUGAAUUUUUCAGUGCAAAGUGUUAACUAGAUUUCUUGUGGGAUAUGGUCAAUGAUUGGGCAAUCUCUAUGGGAUUCGGUAUCUAGAAUUAAAGAUUACUCCAUUCUUUUCUGUUAAUGUGGAUUGAUAUGCUGUUGUAUCUUCAGUCGGUUCCCUUUUUCAGGAGGUUAUGAUGUCUUUGGGGCUUGGUGUCAUUCUACAAUGUAGUUUUGAUUGUAGGGUUUUUAUUUUUGGGUAUAUCUCUUGUAUUGCUGGUCCAUUGCUUGUUGUAUUUUGCUGUUUAGCACAUUUUAGUAAAAUUUAUCAAUCUUCUACAAAAAGCAUUAUUUUUGUAAAGUGAUAUGUAUAUAUUGUGCAUGGCCUAAAGUGUGUUUUUCCCUGUAGGCAUCUCCAAUUCAUCUAGCUGGAAGGCAAGUUUACAUUGAGAAGCAGAGACCAAACAGCACUGGAUUAGCAGCUCGAGGAAGUAUGUGCUUAAUUUCAUUAUUUUUUUCUUAACAUCUUUGAUGUGGCAAAAUUGUCAGACUUGUGAAUGCAUGAUGUUAUUCUUAAAUACUGUAUCUAUUGGAAAAACAUGAAUGUAAGGGGAUGUAUUGGGGAUGUUGUGUGGAGUCCUCGAGUGGCCCUUACGGUUGUGUUUGUCCUAAUGUUGGCAGCUGCUGCAAGGAAGUGGUGUUGCCUUCAUAAAUCUUAGAAAUUUUUUGUAGUAGAGAUAGAGAACAUACUUUUUCCCAAUUAGUCUCGGAAUCAAAUUUGCAUUGCAAUCUUCCUUCUUCUAAGAUGUCGUUUAGAUGUGCAGUACUAGCGUCAAGGUUUUUCAUGGAACCAAAUCAUUUGUCCUGUUCAUGAGCUUACUGAGUCUAUUGGCAUAGCCAGCAUUUAGAAUGUGAUCUACCAAACUAUUAAGCAUCUAUGCAUCUGUUUUCCUUAGAGAUAACAUUUAAUUUGCUCAACUUUUGGUCUCCUUACGUGGAUUUUGAAUUUUUCAACCAGGAGGAAGGGGCAGAGGCAGAGGAGGUUACCAAACUGAUGCCACAAGGGGGCGUUUUGGUGGCCGGAGUUCAAGCAGGGGUAGUUACGGAUGGAGAUUACAACAGACUGAGAGGCAAUGGUUUUCAUCAGCGUGGCAAGGCUACACCACCAGCCGAUACUUAGUAGCCUGAUGCAUCAAGCCUAAAAGACUACUUGUUGUAGUUUUUUCUUUUAUGUUUUUUUUUUGGGUCAAUUAGUUUUUUCUUUUUUGUUCGAACAUCUUGUACGUACAUUUUCAUAUAUUUUAUAAUUAAAUAUUUUGCUUGGUUAAUUCAUUAUUGUUUAGAAUUUAAUUACAAUAUUUAUUAAAAAUUUAAAACAAAAUAUUUUUGACGAAAACAUAAAAAAGGGAUUUGCGCGACGCAUGCCUACGUCGUGCAAAGACAAUAAGCCACUUUGCGCGACGCAUAUCUUACGUCGUGCAAAGCCACGAAGGCACUUUGCACGACGCAUGACUACGUCGCGCAAAGACACCUAUGCCACUUUGCGCGACGCAUGUAACCCCUUCGUCGCGCAAAGCUUUCUGUCACUGCCUUGCCGCGACGGUUUGCGCGCGACGAAGGUUCGUUGAGCAAAGUUUUGCGCGACGUUUUUUGACUUUGCGCGACGAAGGACCUGCGUCGCGCAAAGUGUUUUUUUUACUAGUGGUUGUGCAAAUUGGAGAAUUGGCUAGGUUUUGGACCAAAGCAAUAAAGGCGUGGUGCAGAUGAAAAUAAAUAAGAAACAAAAAUGCAUCAUCAAAAGAUGGAGAGAGCAAGGGAGGAGGUGGUCAUGCUGCCGUGGUCAGAGUAGGGUGAAAAACGAACACGAAAGCCAGAGGGAUGGACCAGCUGCGGCUUUGGGACCAUUAUUUGUUUAAUUAGGGUAGGGUUGCAGACUUGCAGAUGAAGACUAUUGAGGGCCAUCGAGAGAGACAUUGCAUGUAAAUAAGACUUUUGUUCAUCAAAUCCAAUGAUAACACAAUGAUGUUCAAAAAAUUAAAGAAAGAACAAAGCCACCAUCGAUAGUAUAUAGAUAUAUCUAACUCGGAAAAUGAAACUUUCUUGCAACCAAUGCACCGUACCAUAUUAUUCGUUUGAUAGACAUUUGUCAUGUAUUUAAAUAGUGAAUCAUCCAUGUAAACGGUGAAUCAUUCUUUCGAUAGACAUUUAUCAUGUGUUUAAAUCGUAACUUAAUUUACUUAUAAAUUAAUGUAAAGUUCUUCCUCCCAUUAAUGUGGGAUUUAUUCUCAACAUAUCUCUUCACGUGUGACGAAUUUUCAAGCCAAAGACGUGGACAAUACCACUGGAAUGAUGUGGAGCACGUGUGACCGUUAAACUUCACACAUGAAACAAUCCACUCCAAUACCCCGAAAAAAAGAUAUGUUUCUUUUGUAACUAAAUUAAGCGGAUGAUAAUAAAAAAUUUCGAUCCUGCACAAACAAGGAUAAAAUUUUACCCAAACAUUCAACUAACUACAGUCAAAGUAAACGUGUAAAAAAAUAUUGACUUUGUUGAUUUUAUUUAUAGAGUAAACACCUUUAUAUAUCUCACAAGGACUUCAAAGAGUAGGAUUUCUAAGAAAGAACCGAUUACAUUAAAUUACAAAAUAUCUUUUAUGCGUUAAGGCAUGCAAAAUGUGAGCUGCGUGGUGCCGGCGAGAUGGAAAAUAUAUACUAGCCAAAUUGUUAAAUUGAGUUUGAAACCACGGGCUGAGUUUGUUAAUUAUAUCAAAUAUUUUUAGCAACAAUUGAAGCAGAACACAAAAGACUGAACGAAGCUCUUCGGAGCCCCAGAGUAAGAUGGGCCAGACCCAUUUUGGUACAAACCCUAACCCUAAAAUAAAAAUCGAAAACUGAUUGACAAAUGCAUGCAAUUCAACCCUUAUUUUCGUACAAGUUCGGUAAUAUCUCCGGUGGUCAUGGUUAUGGUUCCAGGAAUUUCAGUUACAUGAUGAUUAAUCGUCAUGGUUAUGGUGUAUUCGAUUGGUCAUAUCUCCAGUGCCCACUUUAAUCCGACAUAACCUUCACCAUCUUCCGCCAUUUUCCACCCAAACACGCAUUAAUUAAUCAAAAACUAUUCCGCCCAAUUAAUUAAUUAAUCAUGAUUAAAUUCUUGUCAUAUAUUCAUGCAUUCAAUUGCAUAAUUUGUACUUGCCUCUGUAUAUUGCAGCGCAUGUGUUAGGAUCCAUCCUUGCAAGCGGGACUUUAUGCCUUGUUUUGGUGCCCCAAGCGGCAUAUUUUGGAACAUAACUAGUUGGAUCAGACGUUCGAUAUUUGGUCAUGCAGAUCAUUGCCUCUUUUGUCUUGAUGUUUGUUAUUUCAGGCAUCGCCACAGAUAGUAGAGCUGUUAGUAAUUAAUCCCUAAUAUGCUCAUACAUAUGCAUAUGUGCACUGCAUGCAUGCAUGCAGAUUGGAGAAUUGGCAUUAAUUGCUGUAGGAAUGACAAUAACUAUCGACGUCCUCGUUGCCAGGUACAUAUAUACAUAUACAUAUAGCACAUAUAUAAAAUACAAUAAUAUUGUACGUUUGGAUAUAUAAAACUAACGUACUUGAAUACAUAUAUAUGACAUGGAGCAGACCGGUCUUAGGGGCAUCGAUGGACCCAGCACGGAGCCAAGGGCCAACAAUAGUGAUGCACACAGACAAGGGAAUAUCGAUUUAUAUUGUAGGUCCAUUCGUUGGCACCAUAUAGACUCGGUGGAGUCGCCUACAAUCUCAUUCGGUUCGCUGACAAACCACUGAGAGAGUUAACUGACAAAACCAAUACUGCGGGAGUUAAGAAGAGUGCUUCCUUCAUCAAAUACGUUUCCGAAAACAAUUUUUAUAGAACUUAAUUAUCACGAGCUGGUGGUCCAAUGGUAAAAGGUGGAUUACGAGACUUCUUUAAAACUGAAAACUGGAAGUCUCUGGUUUGAAACCCACUACUAGUGUGGAAGCUAGACUUGUGGCCAAGGGGAUGCUGAAAUGCCUCUGUUAGUCUUCCCCCUCCGGGAAGAAGUGAAUAACCGUGACUUGUCGCCAAUUGUCCCCUUUUUUUAAAAAAAAAAAAUUCGUAGUUAAUUCAUAAUCAAUUAUUACGUACUGUUGUGAUGGAAUCGAUUGGUCGUCGAUAUCUUCUCCUUCUACAGCCUGCUGCUGCAUGACAUGCAUGUCAAAUAGGUCGUAUGUUGUUUGGAAGGAAGAAUAAAAAAAAUUUUAAUUUCUUUUUUGUUGAUUUCUUAAUCAGUGUUAAAUUAAAUUGUUUUUUCAUAUUUUAUUAUUGGGAAGUGUUAUUAGCACUCCAAAAAUCUUAUUCCACACUCCUCACAAGUGUAUUUUUCUUUCUAAAUAUAGAAAUUUUGGAGUGUAGAAUGAGAUUUUUGAAGUGCCAAUAACAAUUCCCUUAUUAUUUUAUGAAAUAAUUUGUAACUUUUGUGUCGUGCUUAUGAGGUAUUUUAGGUGUACAUUGAAUGCGGUCACAUGCGUGAUAUAAUACUAUUUCACGCAAAUUAUUUCCAAAAGCAUAGGUAGUUCCCAAUAAUUUCAACAGGUAACCAUAUAUAAUUGGAUUACAAUUUCCAUAACUAGUUACUCUAUCAAAAUCAUAUUUGAUUUCAAUUGAUGUGUAACCAUGCAUAUACAUAAUGAUAUAUAGCUGCCUUUAUUUAAUUAAUAUGCAUAUAAAUGUGACCUUCCUGAGAUGCUCCUUUUCAUAAACUUCAAACUAAUUAUUAAUUUAGUUAUAAACAUUAAAUAAUCGCACUUUGUUUAAAAAAGUUUAGAUCCAAAACACAUGGAGCUCCUCACAUGCGUUAGUCAUACGUUGCAUAGAGCAAAAAUCUCACAUGUCCUUCUAUUCAAAACUAUCACAUAUUUCUGACUAGCUACUUUAAUCGUUUACCAAUCGUUACAGGUGUAGUAGGAACUUGUGAAAUCAAUCAAUUGUACUAGCUAAUAUAUAUAUAUAUAUAUAUAUAUAUAUAUUCGUCAAAGGAUCUAUAUAAAUAUAAGUUGUCAAGUUAUUUUCAAAACCAUCUUAAUCGAUCCCUUUGUUUUUUAUAUAGUCUUCAAAGUUAUGGUGAUCAGCCAUAGACUUUUCCAUCUGAUAUGUCCCUAGCUCCCACCAAAUGUAUCUGGGGAAAAAACCCUUGACUCUCUCUAAUCUUAUGGUGCCACAUGGGUAAUUUUUGGUUGUCAUUGUCUUUACCAUCUUUGUAAUAUAAAUGGAUCGAUGUCACCAACAUUUUGUUUCUAAGAAAAGAAAUUAAAAUUAAAAAGCUAUACAUGUCAUAUAACAACUUGUAUUAUAGUUUAGCUAUAUUUUUCUUUCUUUGGAAACGAGAGAUCUCACAUUUAACUUCCAUAAAUAACAAGUUUGUAUAAUAUUUGUGUUGAAUUUGAUAUCUGAUUAUGUCUUAUUUUAAAGUAAAAUAUCAUCGUAUGAAAAAAAUAUGUAUGCUCUAUUUCAUGUUUGGUUGAUAUAAGCUCACUCUCACUGGGGUUAGGUGUCUAUUCUUUUCUUUUCUUUUUUGAAUUGCUAUGUAUUAUUUUCAAGUGGACGAAACCAGAGGAAUACUACCUCAACCUACAUGCUCCACUCACAAAACUUUAACAUACAAGCUUCAACAAAAGAAAAUUCAGAGAACUUAGCGAAGAAGGCUUUGGUGUAUUUAACACAAUACGUUGAAAUGAAGGAAAGCUAUUUAUUGAUAUCCCCGAUAAGUCACAAAUAUAUACAUAUACAUGAGUCAAAAUAAACAAACAAGAGGGAGCCUUCACAAAGGUUGCUUAGGAGAAGUCUCAGCAGUCGGUAGAGCCCCAGAAAGAGCAGGCAUUGGAGGGGGAUCAUUUGGAGCCUCAGUACUGGACAGAACCCUAGAAGGAGGAGCCAGCAGAGGUUGAUCAUUUGGAGCUUCAUUACGCGGUACAGCCCCAGAAGACGAAGGCAAUAAAUGACUUUGGAACAAACCCACAAAUCUCUGAUGAUCAAGUAAAACCUGACCAUCAGAUUCCUUCAUCUGGUCAAGCUUCCUCUUCAUGUUUGUAGCAUAGUCAUGUGCGAGCCGGUGCAACUGUUUAUUCUCAUGCUUGAGCCCUCUAAUCUCCUGUUUGAGACUCAUCACUUCAGCCGCCAAUGAUUCAACUUGGUGGGUUCGAGCAAAUAGGCGUUGGGCCAUGUUAGACACAGAACCUGCACACUGAAUACUGAGAGCCAGAGAAUCCUUAACAACCAACUCAUCAGACCGUUUGGAAAGUAGUCUGUUAUCUUUGGGAGUGAGAAGGUUCCUGGCCACUACCGCAGCGGUCAUAUCAUUCUUCAUCACGGAAUCCCCAACGGUAAGAGGACCAGUAGGGGAGACGAAUGAUGGACGCCAUAUGUUGUCUGGAGAAGGCGUGACUGCCUCUUAAACAAGGUUCAAGUCAAAACGACGGUCGGAUGGGCCAGACAUUUUCAAAGGUGUUGAAGAGAGAAGAGGUUGGACAAAUCAAGAUCUUAGAAGUGUAAGAAUAAUGAAGCUUCUACUGGUGGAGAUUCAAGUGUGCUUUGGAACUUAAUGCCAGCCUCUAUAAAAAUCUGCACUUGACGGAGCUUCAGAAAUCGAAGAGGCGUUUGCUUUCUCAAAAGCUGGGCUGCUCAGAGACCACGAGACGUUUACUUUCUCAAAAGUUAGGCUGCUCACCACGAAGGCCGAUCUUAGAAAUCGAAGAGGCGCUUGCUUUCUCAAAAGCUGGGCUGCUCAGAGACCACGAGGGCCGAUCUCAGAAAUCGAAGAGGCACCUACUUUUCCAGCCUUGUCAGCACCUGUCAGCUUUGCGGAAAUUAUGGGCAUUAUGUCGAAGAUUUCUGGUGAAGUAGAAAGCACAUGAAUCUUACUGUUCAAUCACCCACUUCCCACACGCAACAUUAGCUCAUGGGUACCACAGAUAACUUUGCCAAAGUUCUCUGACAAAGUUGAGACAUGUGAAGCUUGCAGCUCCCACUACACCGCUCUGACCAAGAAGGGUAAAAGAAUAGCAAAGAAACAGCACUAACAAAGUUUAGACACAUAAAUUUUAAAGGUCUAGCUACCAUAUUAUUACCCACAAGGGUAAAGGAACAGUACCACUGCUGGAUAAUUGGAAAGUCCCUGUGUUUCAACCUCUGUGCUUCGUGGCAAGAUAGACUAGCAAACAUGCCCAACCUUUUCUCACAUUCGAGAAAACACUCCCAACAAGAUUGCUUGCUCCAAAAUCGAAGAGGCACCGCCCUCCGAAUCUCGAGAGCCAGACUCCCAACAUGAUUACUUUCUCAAAAAUCGAAGAGACACCGCUAUCCGAAUCUCGAGAGCCAGACCCCUAGCAGGAUUGUUUUCUCAAAAAUCGAAAAGGCAUCGUUAUCCGAAUCUCGAGAGCCAGAUCUCCGACAAGAUUGCUUGUUCGAAAACCGAAGAGGCACCACUUUCCCAACUUCAAGAGCCGAAUCUCCUUGGAUAAAGCUUGUCUGUAAUCUUUACACGCAACAUCAGAUUUCCAGAUACCACAGACCACUUUUUCAAAGUGCUCUGACAGAGUUAAAACAUGUGAAGCUGGCAGCUCCCACUACCGUGUUAUGACCAAGCAGGGUAAAGGAAUAGCAUUACUACUUGUUGUUAAGGAGACUCCUAUAUAUGUUGACCUCCAUCCCUAACAGACAGGCAAACCUGCAAAAAUGCUCAACCUUUCCUCAUAUCUGAGAGGGCACUCCCAAAGAAGCCUUUCGAAAUAUUCAGCUUUCUUUCCCCCCGAUAAUACCUCUGCAAACAAGCUAUACUAGAGCAAGAAUAUCUCAUAUCAUCAGGGUUAAAAGCAAGAGUAUCCCAUAUCAUGUUUUUUCCCUGUCUUUUCCUUUGGCCUUGUUCUUACCUGUAAGACAAGGAGAAAGAGAGCAAUCAGUCAGCACUUGGAAUCAAGCUUCCAGUCAGGAACUGACUGCCUGGAACCCCCUACUUGAUUACUUACCUGGCAUUGCUCUCGAGUACUCAUCUUCAACAUCUUAUGCUUCCAGGGAAGAUACCGCAUCUGCCUGAGGAACAUAUUGAAGGAAUUAUUUUGAAAAACAUGUUCAUUUGAGCAACAUCAUAUAGCAUGCAAUUAACAAUUAAAGACGGAAUCAUGCUUGUAUGCACUCAAAAACAAAACAUUACCAUGAAAUUCAAAGCCUAGUAGAUUGGUGAACCAAUAAUCAACUCAAAACAAAGUGAGUUGAAAUUAAUACCUUUGUAGAUUCCUCUUUGCAUAAGCAAAGGCUAAUCACCUAGAGAGAUAGGGGCCUUCAUUCCUUGCUUCUUAGAUCCAUGGAUUUGGAUGGAAGAAUAGGUUCUCCAAGUUCCCAAAAUUGAGAACCUCUAAGUCUCUUCACCAAGGUUAGAUUGUAGAAGAAAUGAGUGACCUUGGAGUAGUAGGAUUGCUAGAUGUACCCUCCAAGGUGUUGGCCUCUUUAGAGAGAAAAUGGAGAGACAAUUCUCACCAAUUUUCCCCCAAAAUAAACCCUUUUAAUCCUUAAUCACAUUAUGAAUAUUUGGCUAUAAAGUCCUUUAUAUAGUCCCUUCAAAUAAGUGACCUAAAGAACCAAAACCCUAAUUCAUCUAACAUGGCCGGCCUACCUAGGGAUUUUUGGGCUUUUGGGCCUUUGUGAAUCUUUAUUCAUUAAGUUGUCAUACAACUUAAGUCAAUGGGCUUGACUUUCGAAGCCCAUUGGGCCUUAAGGUCCAAAACUAUCCCGAGGUCUUUAACGAACUUAUUCGUUUGAUUAAUUAACAUAUUAAUUAAUCCUUGCCAUAAUUUAAAUGAUUAAACCAUUUAAUCAUUCUUACUCAUCUCCGUUUAAUCUUCAAUCUCCACCUUUUAUGGUGUGCGAUCCAUUAGGUUCCUUUUAGCGAGGUAGUGGGCGAUUAAAACCAUUUUACAUUGAUUGUGAAUUGAAACUAUUUUCAAUUCUCCCUUUAGUGAUUACACACGUUUAGGGCUUCCACAAACCAUGGUUGACGCCUAGCAGCAUGUCAUGGUUACCCAAGCUAAUCAGAAGAGGUUAGAGAACCUAUUCAGUUCGGGAUUACAAAUGCAAUACGAUCUUUCUCUAAUCUAAUACUCUUGACCACAUUGUUUGGUUUGAUAGUUUAUUUGUUCAUGUCUACUAUCCAAUGUGAAUCUUGUGCUUAUAUGAUUUACUUGAAUGUGAUUUGGAACGCAUUCCCUAAUCUCAUUCAUACUCUGGCCAGAGAUUCUAAAUCAUAUCAUAGAGUAUUCUCCCUCAACUGUUUGAAGGUUAGAGAUCCCUUGUUGCGCAUUCACUUGUCUCCAUAGCUAAGUCACUUGACCCCAACGAUGCCGUGGACACCCCGAGGGGGUGACUUUGACAUAAUCAAAGAUCAAGGACUUAACCACAAGACAACUGUGAUGCCUCAGGUCAAAGGACUACUUUGCAUUAUCCCAACCAUGAGUUCUUAUGUGACAUGGAAUAUGAGAACUCUUCGUUGAUCACGUUCAGUGUACUCAUUCUCUAUUGAGCACCUACGUACUUGUCUUGAUGUCACACACACCAAUGACUCGAGACUAAUCACUCUUCCUGAGAGAAGACAUAGUACGUACCGAUCUUAACGGACUGUCAAUGCCCAAUUGACAAUCCUAUGAUCAGGAACAUUUAGGAUGUGUCUACGAAAGAAUGGUCUCAUGAAUCUAACUUCAUUAGAUUACAUUCUCCCAAUCACAUAUUCCUUGGACUUUAUCGUUUAAGCAUAUAACAUUUAUAUGAGACGGCUCAAACAAUAAUCUUUGCCCUUUAUAUGUAAAACUAGAUUAGUUUAACAUGUGAAAUGUCCGUAAAGUAUCAUCACAUGAUUGGCUUUAGGGCACAUUUCCAACACAUAUAGGGCAAGUGAGAAGGAUACAAGGAAGCAUGUGGAGACAAGCGUAACAGCACACGUGCCGAUACAUCCACUACUCUGUCAAAAGCAAAAGUAUCUCAUAUCAGCAGGGUCGAACGUACUAUAGAUUUGAUGGACUUGUUUUGACCCUCAAAUUCUUCAGUCGGCCUUAUACUCUGGAGGAAACCAGAAAACCCUCCAGCCUAGUUCAAGAAUAAGCCUGUGGAAAGUUACUUCUUCAAAAGCAAAAAUAUCCCAUAUCAUCUCUUCUCAUUUUUCUUCUCUUUAUCCUUCAUGCUGCCUACAAGAUAGGGAGAAUGUGAACAAUCAGCCGGAACUCGAAAUCAAAGUUCUGAUCUGGGACUGAUUGCUUGGAGCUCUGAUUGCUUACCUUGUCUGUCACCUCUUUCAGCAGAUCCCCUAGCUCGACGACUUGGAGGACUCCUACUACAUGGUUUGUAUCGCGCUUGACCAAGCCUGAAACUACAAGUAAGCUUCAAGUGAAAUUGAUACAUUACCUUGUGCAUCUCCACCAGUUAAAGAUACCACCCCUGGAUGGAGGAAGAGUACUUCCAGAGAAGAUGCCACAUCUACCUACGAGACAGAUAAGGCAAGUCAAGACGAUACCACACUCCAGAACUUAGAAGUUUCGUGAUUACGAGAUCAUUCUCCCACAAUAUUUCCUAAUGUCAUUUGUACUAAAUCAUUCACUAGUACUUACUAAAAGAGAGCUUGAACCUAUGUACUUGUGUAAACCCUUCACAAUUAAUGAGAACUCCUUUAUUUCGUGGAUGUAGCCAAUAUGGGUGAACCACGUACAUCUGGUGUUUGCUUUCCUAUCUUUAUAUCCAUUUAUAUACUUAUCCACACUAAUGACCGGAGCAAUCUAGCGACGAUCACAAAAAGCGACCGUUUUCGCUACCUAGGAUCUAUCUUGCAAGAGAACGGAGAAUUAGAUAGAGGUCUCAACCAUAGAAUACAAGCUGGAUGGAUGAAGUGUAAGAGUGCAUCCGGCGUGUUGUGUGACCGUCGUAGGUCACUGAAGCUCAAGGGAAAAUUUUAUAGGACGGCAAUAAGGCCAGGGAUGUUGUAUGGCACAGAAUGUUGGGCGGUGAAGCAUCAACACGUACACAAAAUGGGUGUAGCGGAGAUAAGGAUGCUUCGUGGGAUGUGUGGGCACACGAGAAAGGAUAAGAUUGUGAAUGCGGAUAUCCGAGGUAAAGUAGGAGUAGCCGAAGUUGAAGGAAAGAUGAGAGAAAAUCGGUUACGGCGGUUUGGACAUGUGCAAAGAAGGCCUACUGACGCUCCGGUUCGAAGAUGUGACUACGGAACAGAGGUUCGGGGCCGAAGGGGUAGAGGAAGACCUAGGAAAACUUUGGAAGAGACCCUAAGAAAAGACUUAGAGUACUUGGAUCUAACGGAGGACAUGACACAAAACCGAGCGCAAUGGUGUUCUAGGAUUCAUAUAGCCGACCCCACUUAAUGGGAAAAGGCUUUGUUGUUGUUGUUGUUGUUGGACGAAACCAGAGGAAAAAAUAGAAAAUAAAAUAGAACAAAAAUUAUUAGUGUUCUUCUAACGGACAGGAUUACAAGAACACAAUUCAAUAAACGGACAGAAAUUGAGUUUAGAGAGGCGUUGCAGACCGGUAUCUUGUAUAUGUUGGCCACGGCGGGACAUGCACAGCCCUUGCACAUGGCUCCUCCACAUCUUUGGACUUCGUCCCAUAUGUGUAUGAUAAUGUAUUUGUGACUAGUCGGCCCACCCGGAUUCUUAACCGAAUACCUAAAUUCCUACGUUUUCUAAUCUAACGGUUCUAAUCUUUUCACAAGACUAUAUUUGUUGGAAAAGAAGGUAUGGUUGGAGGAAGCUGAUCGUCCUGGGCAGAACAGAAGGCAUUAACGACGGAAAGAACGGAGGAUAUGAAGGCGUUAUCGAGGUGUCAGAAGGCAAUGAUAAUAUGAUGAUGCAAAUGCAAACCAACCAUUUUAAGCAAGUCCAACUUCACAUUUUGAUUUCGUAUAUGACUACACUAAUCACUCUCUCAAUCACUCACCAAAAAGUCUUAUGUCUCUAUCUCUCUCCUACUCUUUCUCUCUAGAAACCUCGGAAGCUUGUUAGCCAAACAACAAGAUCUAAUCUUGCAACGCAAAAAACACGAAACCAAGAUCUAAAGACAAAGACAGACAAGUGGGUUUUGUGUCCUAGAUGCAUGUGAGUGUGUUUUUGCUCCUAACACGCUUGCUUCUGAUUCCCGACUAACAUUUUAGCUCCUUCAUUCUUCAUAACCCAACUGUUUCAUCCUCUGGAAUCCAAUCCCACAGCACUGUUUGAUAUGCUUUUCUUGUAGCUGUG
rnacentral:lncRNA from 1 species